rnacentral:rRNA from 1 species
AACGAACGCUGGCGGCAUGCCUAACACAUGCAAGUCGAACGAGACCUUCGGGUCUAGUGGCGCACGGGUGCGUAACGCGUGGGAACCUGCCUUUAGGUUCGGAAUAACUCAGAGAAAUUUGAGCUAAUACCGGAUGAUGUCUUCGGACCAAAGAUUUAUCGCCUUUAGAUGGGCCCGCGUUGGAUUAGCUAGUUGGUGGGGUAAAGGCCUACCAAGGCGACGAUCCAUAGCUGGUCUGAGAGGAUGAUCAGCCACACUGGGACUGAGACACGGCCCAGACUCCUACGGGAGGCAGCAGUGGGGAAUAUUGGACAAUGGGCGAAAGCCUGAUCCAGCAGUGCCGCGUGAGUGAUGAAGGCCUUAGGGUUGUAAAGCUCUUUUACCCGAGAUGAUAAUGACAGUAUCGGGAGAAUAAGCUCCGGCUAACUCCGUG